UACGUAGGGCGCAAGCGUUGUCCGGAAUUAUUGGGCGUAAAGAGCUCGUAGGCGGCUUGUCACGUCGGGUGUGAAAGCCCGGGGCUUAACCCCGGGUCUGCAUUCGAUACGGGCAGGCUAGAGUGUGGUAGGGGAGAUCGGAAUUCCUGGUGUAGCGGUGAAAUGCGCAGAUAUCAGGAGGAACACCAGAGGCGAAGGCGGCCUGCUGGGCUGCACCUGACGCUGAGCCGCGAAAGCCAGGGGAGCGAACGGG
rnacentral:rRNA from 1 species